rnacentral:lncRNA from 1 species
UCCAUACAUUGUAGGAUGUUCUCACAUUACUGGUGUUGUACAAAAACAUAGAAGUUAAACGUGAAUUGAGAGCAACAUAGAAAGGCUUUUUGCAAGCAGUUCAUGUGUGAUUAAAGUGUGCAAACCUGAAGCUACAUGAACCAUAUUGAAGAACCAACUCCAUAAAGAGUUUUAUGUGUCUUUCUUUAUUUAUAAUUAAAUUGUAGUAGGUGUUUUCAUAUUGUGCUUUUCAGCUUUAUCUAGAAGCAAUUGUAAUAGGUACUUUGAAUAUUCAAGUUAGAGUUAACUUGAAGUUGCCGCAACAGUUAGAGGUUGGUUGCUACGACGUGAUUAGAAGUAAUCCUAAGGUUUACAAAGAGUUUUGUAAAUAAUGUUUUGGCUCAAUGAUUUAGUGAAGUGUUGGGUAAACUUCUACUGAGUAGUAGGUCGUAGUUUUUUCCCAUUUUGUACUUUUCAUAUUAUACUUUUGAGUAGUAGGUCAUAUGUACUUUUUAGCUUUAUCUACAAGCAAUUGUAAUAGGUACUUUUAGUAUUCAAGUUAUAAUUAACUUGAAAUUAUCGCAACAGUUAGAGGCUGG